UACGUAGGCAGCAAGCGUUGUUCGGAGUUACUGGGCGUAAAGGGUGUGUAGGCGGUUGUUUAAGUUUGGUGUGAAAUCUCCCGGCUCAACUGGGAGGGUGCGCCGAAUACUGAAUGACUAGAGUGCGGGAUGGGAGAGUAGAAUUCCUGGUGUAGCGGUGAAAUGCGUAGAUAUCAGGAGGAAUACCGGUGGUGAAGACGGCUCUCUGGACCGCAACUGACGCUGAGACACGAAAGCGUGGGUAGCAAACAGG
rnacentral:rRNA from 1 species